rfam:Salmo salar isolate Sally breed double haploid chromosome ssa16, whole genome shotgun sequence.
UGCACGCAUGACUGUAAGACACUUUGGAUAAAAGUGUCUGCUAAAUGGCAUAUG